CUGCUAAUGAAUUGAGGGAUUAUGCAAAGUUUAAUGGUAUAAAUUUUCCCCAAUGGCGGUAUGAUGUCAUGCUCAAACUAAGAAAGAAGAAGUUUGAAAAACUUGUGCUCGGACAAGAUCCAAAACCAGCAGAGGUUUGAUUUCCACUGAGUAGGAAAUAAGAUUUUCUACAGUGAAUUCUGUUACGUCAAUUUUUGGGAUUCCACCCAUAAGGUGAGGUUGGUCAUAGUAAAUGUUCAGAUUUAUAUUUUUUUUGGAUACCACCCGUGAGGUGACGAUCACAUCCCAGUGAUUUUUUUUGGAUUCCACCCAUAAGACGUUUAACAAUGAAAAUGAAGUAACGAAUCAAGAUGUUAUCGACACUUGGAUUGAAAGAGAUACUGAUGCCUGUUCCAUUAUUUACUACAAUAUCGAGCCAACAUAUCAAACUUCAAUUGAAGGAUCUGCCA